rnacentral:rRNA from 1 species
UUCCGGUUGAUCCUGCCGGAGGCGACCGCUUUGGGAGUCCGAUUAAGCCAUGCGAGUCGUGAGUCUUAGGGACUCGGCAUACUGCUCAGUAACACGUGGAUAACCUGCCCUAUCGUCUGGAAUAACCUCGGGAAACAGAGAAUAAGGCCGGAUAGUUCACAAUGCCUGGAACGGUUUGUGAAUCAAGGUAGGAUGGGUCUGCGGCGUAUCAGGUUGUAGGGGGUGUAAAGGACCCCCUAGCCUUCGACGCGUACGGGUGUUGGGAGACAUAGCCCGGAGAUGGAUUCUGAGACACGAAUCCAGACCCUACGGGGUGCAGCAGGCGCGAAAACUUCACACUGCAGGAAACUGUGAUGAGGGAACUCCUAGUGCAUGCACUAUGUGUAUGUAGAUCCUACUCUUAACAAGUAGAGGGAAAGGGCUGGGAAAGACCGGUGCCAGCCGCCGCGGUAAUACCGGCAGCUCAAGUGGUCGUCGCUUUUAUUGGGCCUAAAACGUCCGUAGCCUGUUUGGUAAAUCUGUGGGUAAAUCAAUCCGCUCAACGGAUUGAAUUCUGCAGAGACUGCCAGACUAGGGACCGGGAGAGGUGUGAGGUACUCGAGGGGUAGGGGUAAAAUCCUGUCAUCCUUCGAGGACCACCAGUUGCGAAGGCGCCACACUGGAACGGAUCCGACGGUCAGGGACGAAGCCUAAGGGCACGAACCGGAUUAGAUACCCGGGUAGUCCUAGGUGUAAACGCUGUGAACUUGGUGUCGGGGGUCCGCAAGGGGUCCCCGGUGCCGGAGUGAAGAUGUUAAGUUCACUGCCUGGGGAGUACGGUCGCAAGGCUGAAACUUAAAGGAAUUGGCGGGGCAGCAC